rnacentral:rRNA from 1 species
UGUAAGCGUAUACCAAAGUUGUUGCAGUUAAAACGCUCGUAGUCGGACUUUGGCAGUUCCGGAUGUGUGCACGUCGUGUGCGCACUUCGCGGGGAUUGCUUUUGUGGUCUUGCGUAGGAUGAGGCACUUUUAUUAGUGAACGUCCUCACGCAACCACUUUUUACUGUGAGAAAAUCAGAGUGCUCAAAGCAGUCAUUUGCCGUGAAUGUAUUAGCAUGGAAUAAUAGAAUAGGACUUGGUUCUAUUUUGUUGGUUUGUUGGGACUGAGUAAUGAUUAAGAGGGACAGUUGGGGGCAUUUGUAUUUCGGUGCUAGAGGUGAAAUUCUUAGAUUACCGAAAGACAAACUGCUGCGAAAGCGUCUGCCAAGGAUGUUUUCAUUGA